GACGAACGCUGGCGGCGUGCCUAAUACAUGCAAGUUGAGCGCUGAAGGUUGGUACUUGUACCAACUGGAUGAGCAGCGAACGGGUGAGUAACGCGUGGGGAAUCUGCCUUUGAGCGGGGGACAACAUUUGGAAACGACUGCUAAUACCGCAUAAAAACUUUAAACACAAGUUUUAAGUUUGAAAGAUGCAAUUGCAUCACUCAAAGAUGAUCCCGCGUUGUAUUAGCUAGUUGGUGAGGUAAAGGCCCACCAAGGCGAUGAUACAUAGCCGACCUGAGAGGGUGAUCGGCCACAUUGGGACUGAGACACGGCCCAAACUCCUACGGGAGGCAGCAGUAGGGAAUCUUCGGCAAUGGACGAAAGUCUGAACGAGCAACGCCGCGUGAGUGAAGAAGGGUUUCGGAUCGGAAAACUCUGUUGGUAGAGAAGAAAGUUGGUGAGAGUGGAAAGCUCAUCAAGUGACGGUAACUACCCAGAAAGGGACGGCUAACUACGUG
rnacentral:rRNA from 1 species